ACUUUUCCCGAUUGCUGCUCCUGAGACCUUCUAUUUGCUUUGGUGUAGAGAGAGAGAAAGAGAGAGGGAGAGAGACUAAAAGGAAAAAAGGAGUGAUCAAUCUAGAUUCUAAAAGAAGGAGAAGUGGUAUCUGAUUCUGGGUUUGUUUUCGGUUGCUUCUGAGACCUUCUAUUUGUUUGGGUGUAGAGAGAGAGAGAAAGAGAGAGGGAGAGAGACUGUGAAAGGAAAAAGGGAGUGAUCGAUCUAGAUUUAGAAAGAAGGAGAAGAAGGAUCUGAUUCUGGGUUUGUUUUGUGUUGCUCCGGGCAAUUUGAAGUUUAGUGAUCGUGUUGGAAGGAAGUGUGAAAGGAGAAGAGGUAAUCGUCCAGUUCCGGAGGAAGGUUUGGGUUUGUUUUAUGAAUUUGGAUUUAGUUUCUUCUUUUCUGUUUAUCGUCUUCUCUGAUUGUCCGCUUUUUCUGUAAACAAUUUUUUGAUGGGUGGUUUAUAGGUUGAAAAAGAGUGGGAGCGUUUCUCAGUUCGUGUAUAGUGUGUGCUUAAUCUAGAGGUUGUACAUAUUGAAGCAGCUAUUUCUUUGUUCAUUUCUAGGUUCAGAGGUUUGAAUGUAGGUUUGGGCCAAUUUUUUUAUACCAAUAUGUUUGUAAUUAACUGUUAUAAUUGUCUAUUGGAUUAUUGUAUGGAAUUGAUCAAAGGUCUUUUGCUGUUAUUGGCUGAGUUGAUUGAAUGAGUUGCCAGAAACAGAUUGGUAGAAUAAGAUUAGUGUUUCUGUCUUAUUUCGAUGAGGUCAAGUUAGAUAUUCUCUGCCCUUUGUUUUUCUCUGCUUUGGGUUACGGUUAGAGGUCCUAAGAAUUUUUUUUCUGCAAAUAUGGUUGGUUAAAGUGGCUACUGUGGGAUUGGUAUUGUGGGAAGUGGGUACACAGGGUCUUCUUUGUUUAUUAGAAGAACUGGCACACUACUUGGGAGCUCAUCUUUGUUUAUUAGUUUGGUCCUUUAAUUCGAGUAGUUUGGCUGCUAGAGUCUUCAAUAUUUUGUUACCUCCACCAGAAAUAAAGGACAAGAAAGUCUGAAAGGAGUUUGAACAUGUAAUUCAAUAGCAGAUAUAUGAAUCUCAAAUUUCUGUAUAUGAGUGUUAUCUUCUAUCAAAUCUGCAGUUUUGAUGUUUAAUUAAUUGUGAUUAAAUGAAUACAUUGACAAUGUAUUUGAAAAUAUAUGUUAAAGUGUUAGCAUUGAAUUUUUUAACUUCUCUGUUGUGUGCAAUGUUGGGGCUGAGCAUUUGGGAACAACAGGAGGGAGAGUGAGUGCUUAUUUAAAGUGUUGCUUUUGCAGUGUUACAUAUUAGCAUAUAGAGAACUUGGACAACAACUUCGAUUUCAGCUGUUACUUGGUAAGCUUUAUGAAUCAUUUUCUUUUGUAUUUUUUGUUUGAGUUAGAUGUUUGAUAAGCUUUGCAUCUUUUGUUUUAACUGAUGUCAAGUUUAAAUAAGCUUAGUAAAUCAAUAAACAAAUACUUUGUUUCAGCUAUGUAGAAUCAUUUUUGUUGAUCUCGCAGCAUCGCGCGAGGGGGAUUAUCUAGUUUAUUCUAUAUAUAAAAGGUGAGUUUACUGUUACACUGUUUAUAAGAGUUGGAAAAGCCGGCUUUGUCCUCACUGUUCGAGGAGAAUAUCGAUUUGGUAGAAAAGUCGGUUUUGUCCUUGCUUUUCUCAGCGUUGGAUUUCAGUGGCUCAGUGCUCGAUCUGAGUAGCUUGCAUUACCGAAAGAAGAGAGAAGAAAGAAAAGAGGGAUAGAAGAGAAAAAUAUAGAGGAAAGGAGAAGGUCUCGACGAUAGGGAUUUGUGAUUUUCAAUGAUAGAGGAAGGUUGAAAAAGGGAUUGAAAUCGUUGUAAAUAUUGUUGACUGAAGAAAAAUCUAGGGAAGAAGAAAGAAAUAUCGGGUCUGUUAGCAGAAUACCAGAAGAUAUCAGAAAUAGGAACUUCUCCUUCUUGCCACCUGUCCUGUCUUUCAAUGUCAGAUUGGAAAUCUUUUUUCCUGGCACCUAAAAGUGUUCCAUCCUCUUCUUCGUGUUGUUCGGUAAAGGAGUUUCAGUCUGGCAAAAGUUGUUAGAAUCUCAGAGUAGUUGCAUAUAUUUAAGAAGUUGGGAAGUCCACAUUUUUUAAACUCCUACAGGCAAGGGUUUGAGAGUUUUAAGGAUUUUGCCCCAAGUGGACACUGCUGUGAAGAAGAAGGUUGAGGAGAUACUGCCCAUUGCCACCAGCCACGAGCUUGAGAAGCCUGCAGCUGUGUUGAGGUUAUAUGAUACCAAGAUUUUGUAUCGGAUACUUACAUUGAUACAGUCCAUUUCAAUCUCAGUAAGUAAUUCAAUUUAUGUUUCGCCUUGAUUUAUGACUCGAACUAACCCGAUUGUUGAUAUUGGUUAAGUUCUUUGAAUUGCAUAAACUUAAAAGGGGAAAAUAAUCUUGGUUAGAUAAAGUUAAGAGGGGGAAAAUAAUCUUGGUUAGGAGCUGACUUUUUGCAUGUGGUAAGAAAAUUUGAACUGCAUGUUGGGUGCUUUGUUUUAAUUUUAUGGCAAUAUAUAGUUUGAUGGAUUGUGUGGAUUUGCUAUGUCAAGAAGGAAUUGUGAAGUGACUUAAUAAUGUCUUUAAUAGUUUGGUGGUAAUAAUUAGACGAUUUCUGGAGUUGGUGGUCGAAUUUCUUCCCUCUUUGUCUCCAUGCAUGAGGUCAGAAAAUUGUUCACAGCUAAGAAAGUCACAAGAUAUACUUUUUACACAACGCCAUUGAACCAAAGUUGAUACAUCGAGACAUUAAGCGGAGGCUUCUUCUUGGCCGCCAAGUACUUUGUAAAGGAAUAUCCAUUUGGGGAUGAGAAAGAGCAGUUACUAACUUUGGUUUGCCAAAUCAAGUCUGAGUGAUAAGAAGGUUGAAUUCAAGAGGGAGUUCCCUCCAGGUGAGGUACUGCUAAUGCUGCUGGAUGCAACUGUUGCACAGCUAAAACAAAAGCUGAUUGUCCGGAGGGAUACGUAUUCUAUCACAGAACAAUUUGUGGUAAUGGAAAUCAAAGGCUGGGAAUCAGAUGAUAUGGAAGUACUUUCUAGAGCAAUUCAAUCGGGAAUAGUUUGUCUCUUCACAAAAGUUACUAUUGCAAUUGAUGUAAUAUAUGGUAUUUUAAUAGUUUGAUCAAUAAUAAAGUCAUUUUCAAUUA